AACGUAGGAGACAAACGUUAUCCGGAGUUACUGGGCGUAAAGGGCGUGUAGGCGGUUCGUUAAGUCUGGCGUGAAAGCUCUCGGCUAAACCGGGAGAGGUCGUUGGAUACUGGCAAACUAGAGGACGGUAGAGGCGUGUGGAAUUCCGGGUGUAGUGGUGAAAUGCGUAGAGAUCCGGAGGAACACCAGUGGCGAAGGCGGCUUACUGGUCCGGUUCUGACGCUGAGGCGCGAAAGCGUGGGGAGCAAACAGG
rnacentral:rRNA from 1 species